rnacentral:rRNA from 1 species
CCAGACUCCUACGGGAGGCAGCAGUGGGGAAUAUUGCACAAUGGGGGAAACCCUGAUGCAGCAACGCCGCGUGAGUGAGGAAGUAUUUCGGUAUGUAAAGCUCUAUCAGCAGGGAAUAGAAAAGAAGGUACCUGAAAAAGAAGCCCCGGCUAACUACGUGCCAGCAGCCGCGGUAAUACGUAGGGGGCAAGCGUUAUCCGGAUUUACUGGGUGUAAGGGGAGCGUAGACGGCGACGCAAGUCUGGAGUGAAAGCCCGGGGCCCAACCCCGGGACUGCUCUGGAAACUGCGGCGCUGGAGUACGGGAGGGGCAGGCGGAAUUCCUGGUGUAGCGGUGAAAUGCGUAGAUAUCAGGAGGAACACCGGCGGCGAAGGCGGCCUGCUGGACCGUGACUGACGUUGAGGCUCGAGAGCGUGGGGAGCAAACAGGAUUAGAUACCCUCGUAC